AGCAGCCGCGGUAAUUCCAGCUCCAAUAGCGUAUAUUAAAGUUGUUGCAGUUAAAAAGCUCGUAGUUGAAUUUCGAGAUCAAAUUGUUGGUCGUGCCUCGGUACGUACUGGCAUUAUUGAUUUCUCCCUUCUGAAGAACCACGAUGUCAUUAAUUUGGUGUCGUGGGGAAUCAGGACCGUUACUUUGAAAAAAUUAGAGUGUUUAAAGCAGGCUCACGCUUGAAUACAUUAGCAUGGAAUAAUGAAAUAGGACGUUUGAUUCUAUUUUGUUGGUUUCUAGGAUCGACGUAAUGAUUAAUAGGGAUAGUUGGGGGCAUUAGUAUUCAAUUGUCAGAGGUGAAAUUCUUGGAUUUAUUGAAGACUAACUACUGCGAAAGCAUUUGCCAAGGAUGUUUUCAUUAAUCAAGAACGAAAGUUAGGGGAUCGAAGACGAUCAGAUACCGUCGUAGUCUUAACCAUA
rnacentral:rRNA from 1 species